ensembl:snoRNA LOC120093047 small nucleolar RNA SNORA19
UUGGUCAUUACCUGCUUUUUUGAAUAUGUGAGCAGUGUUAUUUCUUAUGAGCUAUACAAAUAGUUGAAGAUUAAUUAGCAAAGUAACUUCAUAUAGUAAUUCUGCCAGUCUCCUUCAGACAAAA